rnacentral:rRNA from 1 species
AAGGAUCAUUAUUGAUUUUAUCUAUUUCUGUGGAUUUCUAUUCUAUUACAGCGUCAUUUUAUCUCAAUUAUAACUAUCAACAACGGAUCUCUUGGCUCUCACAUCGAUGAAGAACGCAGCGAACCGCGAUAUUUUUUGUGACUUGCAGAUGUGAAUCAUCAAUCUUUGAACGCACAUUGCGCGGUAUGGCAUUCCGUACCGCACGGAUGGAGGAGCGUGUUCCCUCUGGGAUCGCAUUGCUUUCUUGAAAUGGAUUUUUUUAAACUCUCAAUUAUUACGUCAUUUCACCUCCUUCAUCCGAGAUUACCCGCUGAACUUAAGCAUAUCAAUAAGCGGAGGAAAAGAAACCAACAGGGAUUGCCUCAGUAACGGCGAGUGAAGCGGCAAAAGCUCAAAUUUGAAACCCUCGGGAUUGUAAUUUGAAGAUUUGGCAUUGGAGAAAGCUAACCCAAGUUGCUUGGAAUAGUACGUCAUAGAGGGUGACAACCCCGUCUGGCUAACCGUUCUCCAUGUAUUGCCUUAUCAAAGAGUCGAGUUGUUUGGGAAUGCAGCUCAAAGUGGGUGGUAAACUCCAUCUAAAGCUAAAUACUGGUGAGAGACCGAUAGCGAACAAGUACUGUGAAGGAAAGGUGAAAAGAACUUUGAAAAGAGAGUGAAAUAGUAUGUGAAAUUGUUGAUAGGGAAGGAAAUGAGUGGAGAGUGGCCGAGGUUUCAGCCGCCCCUCGUGGGCGGUGUACUGCCGACGCCGAGUCAUCGAUAGCGAGACGAGGGUUACAAAUGGGAGCGCCUUCGGGCGUUCUCCCCUAACCCUCCACACUGCCACCGACGACAUAAUCCACCCAUUUCACCCGUCUUGAAACACGGACC